UGAUUGAAGAUGCGUUACGUUUUGGGUUAUACUCAACCUACGGGGUAACCCGUUAUGACGCUAAACGCGGAAGCGGAAUAGGCGUUUUGGACCCGGGGGCAGUGCCCGGCGGCUCCACCACUUUUAACCUUGUUAAACAGGUCAAAGGCGGCGGGGCCGAAACAGGAUCGACAGACGUAGUAAUGGCUUCAGGCGGCGUUCGGUAUUGUAUCCGCCGUUAUCGGGCAAUUUUAUAACUGCAAACGACAAUGCGCAGUUCGUAGCCGUUAACGAUAACUUCGUUGGCGCACGUGCUAUCGCCGCCUAAUGGGCAGCCUUAGCUAAGCUACAUCCAAUCCCUUCGCCCUUGAACCGGUGAAGGUGGGGCCUGAGCCGGAGCCUCGCAACAGAAUCCGGCUCACU
rnacentral:tmRNA from 1 species